CAGAUCAAGAAGCUGUCACAGAUGGU
rnacentral:piRNA from 1 species